rnacentral:misc_RNA from 1 species
GGGAAACACACCAUUAUACAUAUAACAGUGAAUAAUAUUUUGGCAAAUGCACGAACACAUUCACCAUAUGCACAAGACUUGUGCUGCUACAAAACUGCUGUUGACAUGCGUUCAUGCGCAAAGAGCCUAGACUUCUGUUACCUCAUCUCAAUGAUAUCUAUAACGUAACUCCUCCGUUAAUUCUUAUAUAUCCUCCAUCUUUUUUUCAUUUCUCAAUUGUGC